GACGAACGCUGGCGGCGUGCUUAACACAUGCAAGUCGAACGGAAAGGCCCUGCUUUUGUGGGGUGCUCGAGUGGCGAACGGGUGAGUAACACGUGAGUAACCUGCCCUUGACUUUGGGAUAACUUCAGGAAACUGGGGCUAAUACCGGAUAGGAGCUCCUGCUGCAGGGUGGGGGUUGGAAAGUUUCGGCGGUUGGGGAUGGACUCGCGGCUUAUCAGCUUGUUGGUGGGGUAGUGGCUUACCAAGGCUUUGACGGGUAGCCGGCCUGAGAGGGUGACCGGCCACAUUGGGACUGAGCUGCGGCCCAGACUCCUACGGGGGGCAGCAGUGGGGAAUAUUGCACGAUGGGCGGAAGCCUGAUGCAGCAACGCCGCGUGCGGGAUGACGGCCUUCGGGUUGUAAACCGCUUUCGCCUGUGCCGAAGCGUGAGUGACGGUAAUGGAUAAAGAAGCACCGGCUAACUACGUG
rnacentral:rRNA from 1 species